GAGUGUAUAUGUGUUUAUAUGUCUCUCUGUGUGUGUGUGUGUGUGUGUGAGUACCACGUCAUCUGUAAACUGAUACAGUCACAUGUUAGCUCUAAAAUGAAGGAUGCCAGGGAGUGUUUCUCCCACUGGUCUUAAUACUGUGAGUCACUAUGAAAUAUCACAAAUAAAUAACAACAACAUAGGUCUUAAUACUGUGAGUCACUACGAAAUAUCACAAAUAAAUAGCAACAACAUAGGUCUUAAUACUGUGAGUCACUACGAAAUAUCACAAAUAAAUAGCAACAACAGAGGUCUUAAUACUGUGAGUCACUAUGAAAUAUCACAAAUAAAUAACAACAG
ensembl:lncRNA